GCCUGCAACCAGGUGCUCUGCAGUCUGUUAUUCUUCCGUCAGAGUUCCAUCCUGUUCACUUACCAGGCUAUUACCUGGCAUCUCAUGUCUUGAGGGUCCUUUACUUACCACUAACUUCUUCCCUACAGCUACCCUUAACUUGUGUGAUAGUGGGGAAAUAUCUAGUACUCGCUCCGUCCCAAAAUAAGUGACUUAACUUUGUACUGAAGUUACUUGUUUUUGGACGGAGGGAGUAUUUUCUUUUGGGAUAACUCCCAGUUUGGCCCAUCCUCUUGGCUCAGAAUGGGGACAGCAUCUACCACGAUUAACGCCAACUAUAUCACUUUUAUUGCUUGCGUGGAGAUGCAACUUUGAUGCUUUUUUCCUGUAGGUUGCUGUUCUAUUAUUUCUGGGGACAGAAAGCAAAAGGCACGUGAAUCGCUAUUAGCGUAGAUUCAUACAAUGAGUGAUCAGGAGGCUGAUCUGCAAAAAAAUUAAAUCUUGUAGGCUCUGGAGAAUGAUCUUGCUGAUCCAUAUCUGAAUGGAAGUGGGAUCUUGACUGGAUCACUCUCCAAUACUGGUUUGGAAUAGGAUAUACACAAGUUGUAAGCAACGGCCUGGUCUUUCCAAGCAUAUGACUCUGCGCCGUAGCGUAUUCAAAACCGCCUACCUGUAUCCUGUGGGUAGUUGGCUUUGAUGGUUCCACACGUGUCACUACAGGAAAACAACAUGCCUUUCAGGCAUACAUCACCUGCCCCAUCUGCUUUCAGGCAAGUAAUUCUGUUUUUGUAUGCAGCAACAUAUUUUUCUUCUUUGCCUCAGGCCAUGUUUAGCGUGUCGUGAGAUAGACAUGUCAAGUGGAGUAUUUUUUUAUUUUUUUUUGCUGAACGGUUGCAAUCUUUCCAAGAAAACUAAGAUUACAGAUACGCCGUGGUUUAGGAUUUGCAGAGGGGUCAUAUGUUAUGUCCACUCGUAUGACAAGUUGUCUAAUUUUCUAUUGUUGAAAAGCCAGCAACUUUUUAGUCACUGUAUUGGUACAUGGUUUAUAUCUCCUUAUUAUAACAUUCAGGUCAUCAUACUCUUAAAUCUGCAUUACAUCACUGCCUUCUAGAGCUGACAUGGACUGGAUGCCAUACCAAACAAAGUCUAGGAAGAUUGUUGGCUACUAUUAUGCACUGGACUUCACUGCUGAUCUGCACCCGCCGUGUUUUACCACAAGUACUAACAACAUAUUUGGCUGCUGUACCUUCAAUUUAAGCACAGUCGUCGUCGAUGCUUAGCUUCAUUUAGCUUUGUGCUACGACUAAUGUGUAUCUUUGUUGGUGUUAGGAUGUUAAUACACAGCAUUUGGUAAGGACGACCUAAUCGGGUAUGUUGUUGAAUGUUGACCCUCACUAAUUCAGUCUAAGCAGACAGCUUUAUCCUGUUUGGUGGGGAGGCACUUUCAGAGGCUUCUUAUGCAGUGGUGGUUGGUCAUGGAGUCAUCAGCAUGUAACCGACAGUAAGAGGCGUACGCAUAUGGGCGGCUAUGAUGAACCCCCGUGCGAAUCAAUUCCGUGGAAACAAAUGUGGGGAUGGAGGAAAAAGUUGGUGAGACCUCUGCUCUGCCCUGCUCUUCCUGCAACCAGAGGCACUGAUGAUUUUGCUGCUUCUUGUCAUCUUGUUACUUAUGCAUGCGGUUUUGUACCCAGGUUUGAUUACUUCUAUUUUCAGCUUGAGAUUCUUGUUAUUAUUACUACUUGAUGAUUGAUUGUGUGUUACUCUGGUAUGUCAAAAUCGCUAUUUGUUACAGUAGAGGGAUCGCUGUAGUCUAGGGGUUAAACGUCAAAGAUGCGUUUAUGAGAAAGUUACAGUGAGUUGUAGCUGAACAUGGAGCAUGUAUUAUUAAAGGCUUAAAGCUGCAAUGUAUUUCCUAUUUGGAAAUAAAUAGAUACUGUUGCUAAGUUUUUCUGAAAA